rnacentral:rRNA from 1 species
AAUGAGGACUAGAAUCAACGGCACCACGAGGAUCCUACUGUCUCCCCACUCCAAUCAGUGAAACUGAUCUCCCCGUGAAGAAGCGGGGAUAUAAAUAUAAGACGAGAAGACCCCAUGGAGCUUUAAACCUGACAACACCCAUUUAUCUUUUACCCUAGUAUUCAUUAGGCCCUGUUUGUUUGGUUUUAGGUUGGGGUGACCACGGAGUAUAAAAUAACCUCCAAGAAAAAUGGACCAACAAUCCUUAUCAAAGAACUACAAUUUUAUGAAUUAAUAAAUUAAUUUUUAAUGACCCGAUAUUUAUUCGAUCAACGAACCAAGUUACCC